GCAUUGCUAGCUGGGGCCAUGGUAGUUCCAUUAUUAGCUGAUGCUGUGGUGGAUGCAUUGCCAGCUAGUGCCAUGGUAGUUCCAUUAUUAGCUGAUACUGUGGUGGAUGCAUUGCUAGAUGGUGCCAUGGUGGUUCCAUUAUUAGCUGAUGCUGCGGUGGAUGCAUUGCUAGAUGGUGCCAUGGUGGUUCCAUUAUUAGCUGAUGCUAAGGUGGAUGCAUUGUUAGCUUCAUCCACUGUGGUCAUAUUGCUAGCUGGUUCCAUGGUGGUUCCAUUACUAGCUGAUGCUGAAGUGGAUGCAUUGCCAGCUAGUGCCAUGGUGGUUCCAUUAUUAGCUGAUGCUGAGGUGGAUGCAUUGCUAGCUUGUGCCAUGGUGGUUCCAUUAUUAGCUGAUGCUGAAGUGGAUGCAUUGUUAGCUCCAUCCACAGUGGCCGCAUUGCUAGCUGGUGCCAUGGUGGUUCCAAUACUAGCUGGUGCUGCAGUAGUUUUGUUGUUUGCUGCCGCAGUCAUCUCAGUGUUAUUAUUCAUGCUGUUUCCUCCCACCGUUGUCAUGUUAGAAUUUGUCACAUUGGUUGUUGUCUGAGCGUGGGUAGUCAUAAAUCCCCAGGAUAGCACCACCAACAGAACACUGAUCAUCAGUUGUUUAUUC